AAAAAACAAGUAGCAGAUACUCGUUAAUUCGAUUCUUCAAUAAUGUCAGAGAGCACCUAUUUAGUUAGUCACUCUGCAGGCACCAGUGAUUCAACAGCAAUCUACACAAAAGAGUUCCUGCCUUCCCAAAGCUUGUGAUCUAGUGAGAAGCAUAGACAAGUGAACAAUGACAGCACAGAGUGUGGGCUUUCAUGAUUAUACCAAAUUCUUCUGCCACUUCACCUUUAUGCCCCAACAAAUUUGACCUGUGCAAAUAAAAGUUGUUACAAAAGACAAUAAAGGAAAUUUAAAAGUUAA
rnacentral:lncRNA from 10 species